rnacentral:rRNA from 1 species
GACAGAGGGGGCAAGCGUUGCUCGGAAUCACUGGGCGUAAAGGGCGCGUAGGCGGGAUGGCAAGUCAGUCGUGAAAUCUCUCGGCUCAACCGAGAAACGUCGGCUGAUACUGCCGUUCUUGAGGGAUGCAGAGGAGACUGGAAUUCCCGGUGUAGCGGUGAAAUGUGUAGAGAUCGGGAGGAACACCGGUGGCGAAGGCGGGUCUCUGG